rnacentral:lncRNA from 8 species
UCGAUCUUGUUUAAAAUAUUUAUAUGUUUUGUUUAACAUUUUAUAAAUUAUUCAAUUGAUUGUUAGUUGAUAGCCUAUAUUUCACCAUAAAUGCACUAGGCUACUUGUCGAUUUAAAAGUAUUAAGUAAAUGCAGUUGAGGAUAUUCGAUACCCUUUCCUUACACUAGAUUUAUUGAGUAUUGUGGAUCUAACAUAUGUGCUCACUUUUAGUCUUAUUUUCAUCUAAAUAUAUACUAGGCCUACAUUGGACAUUUUAAGGACGCACGCGUCGUGUUUAGGCUCAACAGAAAUGAAAUAAUCUUUGCUAUCAUUCGAUGUUAAUUCUUUUGACGUACUGAAAAAUGUAAAGCUACGAUAGCUACAUUUAUUAUUGUCUUUCUCUAGCCAUGUGCAAACUGCAGAUAUUAAUAUUCACGGCAAUACCCUGCUAGGCAACCGCACAAGCUACAAUGGAAUUGAAAUUAAUUCAGUGAACUCCGGAUGAACUCCAAUAGGGAUAUGUUCUCUAACACAAUUAUUCACCACUUAUGCACUUAUUUGUUUGCCAAAAUACCGACCAACCAGAAUUAUAUCAUCCUAAACUCUACCAUUAGGCCAAAUGUUUGUCAAUAACGUAAUUAUUUAUUUACUGAAUUAUCAAUUUUCUCGUUUCUCCCUUCUCUCUUUUCUCCCCCCAACAUUAAGCAUACCCCAACAAUAUGUCCAAAGUCACCCAUCCAACUUCUCGACGUAGAUAAAGAGGUUUACGUAAAGAGGAAUGGAGGCCUAUUUGUUGAUGACUUUGCUGAAGGGUGGUGUUUUAGGGUUCCAAAGGUCAACCAGAUUGCAUGAUAGCCUUAUUCCAGCUCUAUUACUGUCUAAGGACCCAUCGCCAUGACCGUCGAGUAGCCUAUGCUGCAAUCUGUCUGUGGCUGAAGCAACUCCACUCCAGGUUACCAAGCACCUUAAAAGCCUUAGCUUUUAAAUGUAUUAAUACGUUAUGAGAUUAUUGACAAGAACAUUUCAAUACUUUUAUAUCUAAUAACAAUACUUCCGAAUCAGGAUGUCAAAGUGUAUACCACAACAAAACUUUAUUUCAUAGAUGCAAAAUGACAAUAAAAAAACGACAGGCUAUAUGUCUAAGUAACCUCCCUCAACAGUUGAGUCUACAUGAAUUCCUUCAGAGGCAGAGGUCAAGGUUUGUAUAGUUACAUCCACAAAUACACAACUAAAGCAUAUACACAAGCACACAUAAACACAUGUAUCUAUGACGCCUAUAUCACAUGUCCCCACACAUAGCAGAUAGGCCUAACUAAAAUACCCGAAAUAUAUGAAGGUCCAGAGAUUCAGCACCAUAUUAAUAC